rnacentral:rRNA from 1 species
GAUGAACGCUGGCGGCGUGCCUAAUACAUGCCAGUCGAGCGAACAGACGAGGAGCUUGCUCCUCUGACGUUAGCGGCGGACGGGUGAGUAACACGUGGAUAACCUACCUAUAAGACUGGGAUAACUUCGGGAAACCGGAGCUAAUACCGGAUAAUAUAUUGAACCGCAUGGUUCAAUAGUGAAAGACGGUUUUGCUGUCACUUAUAGAUGGAUCCGCGCCGCAUUAGCUAGUUGGUAAGGUAACGGCUUACCAAGGCAACGAUGCGUAGCCGACCUGAGAGGGUGAUCGGCCACACUGGAACUGAGACGCGGUCCAGACUCCUACGGGAGGCAGCAGUAGGGAAUCUUCCGCAAUGGGCGAAAGCCUGACGGAGCAACGCCGCGUGAGUGAUGAAGGUCUUCGGAUCGUAAAACUCUGUUAUUAGGGAAGAACAAAUGUGUAAGUAACUAUGCACGUCUUGACGGUACCUAAUCAGAAAGCCACGGCUAACUACGUG